rnacentral:rRNA from 1 species
AUUGAACGCUGGCGGAAUGCUUUACACAUGCAAGUCGAACGGCAGCACGGACUUCGGUCUGGUGGCGAGUGGCGAACGGGUGAGUAAUGUAUCGGAACGUACCCUUCAGUGGGGGAUAACUAUCCGAAAGGAUAGCUAAUACCGCAUAUUCUCUGAGGAGGAAAGCGGGGGAUCGCAAGACCUCGCGCUGCUGGAGCGGCCGAUAUCAGAUUAGCAAGUUGGUGGGGUAAAGGCCUACCAAGGCGACGAUCUGUAGCGGGUCUGGGAGGAUGAUCCGCCCCACUGGGACUGAGACACGGCCCAGACUCCUACGGGAGGCAGCAGUGGGGAAUUUUGGACAAUGGGGGCAACCCUGAUCCAGCCAUGCCGCGUGAGUGAAGAAGGCCUUCGGGUUGUAAAGCUCUUUCGGCCGGGAAGAAAUCGCGUGAGUUAAUACCUUGCGUGGAUGACGGUACCGGAAUAAGAAGCACCGGCUAACUACGUGCCAGCAGCCGCAGUAACAC